UACGUAGGGGGCAAGCGUUGUUCGGAAUUACUGGGCGUAAAGGGCGCGUAGGCGGCAUGGCAAGUCAGGAGUGAAAGGCCUGGGCUCAACCGAGGAACUGCUUUUGAUACUGCCAAGCUAGAGUGCGGAAGGGGCAACUGGAAUUCCCAGUGUAGCGGUGAAAUGCGUAGAUAUUGGGAAGAACACCUGAGGCGAAGGCGGGUUGCUGGGCCGACACUGACGCUGAGGCACGAAAGCGUGGGUAGCAAACAGG
rnacentral:rRNA from 1 species